GUAGUCCACGCCGUAAACGUUGGGCGCUAGAUGUGGGGGCCAUUCCACGGUCUCCGUGUCGCAGCUAACGCAUUAAGCGCCCCGCCUGGGGAGUACGGCCGCAAGGCUAAAACUCAAAGGAAUUGACGGGGGCCCGCACAAGCGGCGGAGCAUGUUGCUUAAUUCGAUGCAACGCGAAGAACCUUACCUAGGCUUGACAUGCACGGAAAUCUGUCAGAGAUGGCAGGUCCUUUAAAGGGUCGUGCACAGGUGGUGCAUGGUUGUCGUCAGCUCGUGUCGUGAGAUGUUGGGUUAAGUCCCGCAACGAGCGCAACCCUCGUUCUAUGUUGCCAGCACGUGAUGGUGGGGACUCAUAGGAGACUGCCGGGGUCAACUCGGA
rnacentral:rRNA from 1 species